rnacentral:rRNA from 1 species
GACGAACGCUGGCGGCGUGCCUAAUACAUGCCAGUCGAGCGAAGUUUUUCUGGUGCUUGCACCGGAAAAACUUAGCGGCGAACGGGUGAGUAACACGUAAAGAACCUGCCUCAUAGACUGGGACAACUAUUGGAAACGAUAGCUAAUACCGGAUAAUAGCAUUAACUGCAUGGUUGAUGUUUAAAAGUUGGUUUUGCUAACACUAUGAGAUGGCUUUGCGGUGCAUUAGCUAGUUGGUGGGGUAAAGGCCUACCAAGGCGACGAUGCAUAGCCGACCUGAGAGGGUGAUCGGCCACACUGGGACUGAGACACGGCCCAGACUCCUACGGGAGGCAGCAGUAGGGAAUCUUCCGCAAUGGGCGAAAGCCUGACGGAGCAACGCCGCGUGAGUGAAGAAGGAUUUCGGUUCGUAAAGCUCUGUUGUUAGGGAAGAAUGAUUGUGUAGUAACUAUACACAGUAGAGACGGUACCUAACCAGAAAGCCACGGCUAACUACGUG